rnacentral:rRNA from 1 species
AGUUUGAUCAUGGCUCAGGACGAACGCUGGCGGCGUGCUUAACACAUGCAAGUCGAGCGAUGAAGUUCCUUCGGGGACGGAUUAGCGGCGGACGGGUGAGUAACACGUGGGAAUAUGCCUUUCGGUUCGGAACAACUCGGGGAAACUCGUGCUAAUUCCGGAUACGCCCUUACGGGGAAAGAUUUAUCGCCGAAAGAUUAGCCCGCGUCCGAUUAGCUAGUUGGUGAGGUAAAGGCUCACCAAGGCACCGAUCGGUAGCUGGUUUGAGAGAACGACCAGCCACACUGGGACUGAGACACGGCCCAGACUCCUACGGGAGGCAGCAGUGGGGAAUCUUGGACAAUGGGCGCAAGCCUGAUCCAGCCAUGCCGCGUGAGUGAUGAAGGCCUUCGGGUUGUAAAACUCUUUUGGCGGGGACGAUGAUGACGGUACCCGCAGAAUAAGCCCCGGCUAACUUCGUGCCAGCAGCCGCGGUA